AAGUAUCCCGCUCUGGGAGNAUACGUUCGCAAGAAUGAAACUCAAAGGAAUUGACGGGGGCCUCUGCACAACGCGGUGGAGCAUGUGGUUUAAGUUGCAGAUGCAACUGCGAAGAACCUUACCAGGGCUUGACAUGCCGUGAAUCCUUUUGAAAAAAAGGAGUCGCCUUCGGGAACGCGGACACAGGUGGUGCAUGGCAUGUCGUCAGCUCGUGCCGUAAGGUGUUUGGGUUAAGUCCCGCAACGAGCGCAACCCUCGUGUUUAGUUGCCAUCAUUUAGUUUGGAACCCUAAACAGACUGCCGGUGAUAAGCCGGAGGAAGGUGAGGAUGACGUCAAGUCAGCAUGGCCCCUUACGCCCUGGGCGACACACGUGCUACAAUGGCCGGGACAAAGGGUUGCGACCCCGGCGAGGGCAAGCUAACCUCAGAAAACCCGGCCUCAGUUCGGAUUGCAGGCUGCAACUCGCCUGCAUGAAGCCGGAAUCGCUAGUAAUCGCCGGUCAGCCAUACGGCGGUGAAUCCGUUCCCGGGCAUUGUACACACCGCCCGUCACACUAUGGGAGCUGGCCAUGCCCGAAGUCGUUACCCUAACCGCAAGGAGGGGGAUGCCGAAGGCAGGGCUAGUGACUGGAGUGAAGUCGUAACAAGUAGC
rnacentral:rRNA from 1 species